UGGGGAAUUUUCCGCAAUGGGCGAAAGCCUGACGGAGCAAUACCGCGUGAGGGACGACUGCCUAUGGGUUGUAAACCUCUUUUUUCAGGGAGGAAUCAAUGACGUGUACCUGAAGAAUAAGCAUCGGCUAACUCCGUGCCAGCAGCCGCGGUAAGACGGAGGAUGCAAGUGUUAUCCGGAAUCACUGGGCGUAAAGCGUCUGUAGGUGGUUUAAUAAGUCAACUGUUAAAUCUUGAGGCUCAACUUCAAAAUCGCAGUCGAAACUAUUAGACUAGAGUAUAGUAGAGGUAAAGGGAAUUUCCAGUGGAGCGGUGAAAUGCGUAGAUAUUGGAAAGAACACCGAUGGCGAAAGCACUUUACUGGGCUAUUACUAACACUCAGAGACGAAAGCUAGGGUAGCAAAUGGGAUUAGAUACCCCAGUAGUCCUAGCCGUAAACAAUGGAUACUAGAUGUUGAAUAGAUCGACCUAUGCAGUAUCAAAGCUAACGCGUUAAGUAUCCCGCCUGGGAAGUAUGCUCGCAAGAGUG
rnacentral:rRNA from 1 species